rnacentral:rRNA from 1 species
AGUGAACGCUGGCGGUAGGCCUAACACAUGCAAGUCGAACGGCAGCACAGUAAGAGCUUGCUCUUACGGGUGGCGAGUGGCGGACGGGUGAGGAAUACAUCGGAAUCUACUUUUUCGUGGGGGAUAACGUAGGGAAACUUACGCUAAUACCGCAUACGACCUACGGGUGAAAGCAGGGGAUCUUCGGACCUUGCGCGAUUGAAUGAGCCGAUGUCGGAUUAGCUAGUUGGCGGGGUAAAGGCCCACCAAGGCGACGAUCCGUAGCUGGUCUGAGAGGAUGAUCAGCCACACUGGAACUGAGACACGGUCAAGACUCCUACGGGAGGCAGCAGUGGGGAAUAUUGGACAGUGGGCGCAAGCCUGAUCCAGCCAUACCGCGUGGGUGAAGAAGGCCUUCGGGUUGUAAAGCCCUUUUGUUGGGAAAGAAAAGCAGCAGGUUAAUACCCCGCUGUUCUGACGGUACCCAAAGAAUAAGCACCGGCUAACUUCGUG